CACAUGCAAGUCGAACGAGAAUCGAUGGAAAGAGGAUUCGUCCAAUUGAAGUUGAGGAAAGUGGCGGACGGGUGAGUAACGCGUGGGUAACCUGCCCUUUUGUGGGGAACAACUUCGAGAAAUCGGAGCUAAUACCGCAUAUGCUUACGGAAUCGCAUGAUUUUGUAAGGAAAGAUGGCCUCUGAAUAUGCUAUCGCAAAAGGAUGGACCCGCGUCUGAUUAGCUAGUUGGUGAGGUAACGGCUCACCAAGGCGACGAUCAGUAGCCGGCCUGAGAGGGUGAACGGCCACAUUGGGACUGAGACACGGCCCAAACUCCUACGGGAGGCAGCAGUGGGGAAUCUUCCGCAAUGGGCGAAAGCCUGACGGAGCAAUGCCGCGUGAGUGAAGAAGGCCUUCGGGUUGUAAAACUCUGUCCUUAUUGAAGAGAGGUAGCAGUGUGAAUAAUGCUGUUAUAGGACGGUAAAUAAGGAGGAAGCCCCGGCUAACUACGUG
rnacentral:rRNA from 1 species